UUGUAAAGUCCUGCCUUCCUCGGCACCAGAACCAUCCUCACUUCUUCCUCUCUCUGGGCAGCUGGUCUGCGGGAGCCUGAGAUUUGUUACGUGCUGGAUGCCAUUCUCUUCGUCUAUGGGACGGUGUUAACAGCUCUGUACUGCCGUCUGAAGAUCCUGGAUCGAAAGAAGGAGAAGGCAGCAUCUGCGGCGUCAGAGUAUGAGCAUCUGCGGAUGGGAAGCAAGGACAUCUACGAGGAACUGAAAGGAGAAAAACCAACAGGUCCUCGUGGAAAGAAA